GUAGGGUGCAAGCGUUGUCCGGAAUUAUUGGGCGUAAAGAGCUCGUAGGCGGUCUGUCACGUCGGCUGUGAAAACCUGGGGCUCAACCCCGGGCCUGCAGCCGAUACGGGCAGACUAGAAUUCGGUAGGGGAGACUGGAAUUCCUGGUGUAGCGGUGAAAUGCGCAGAUAUCAGGAGGAACACCGGUGGCGAAGGCGGGUCUCUGGGCCGAUAUUGACGCUGAGGAGCGAAAGCGUGGGGAGCGAACAGGAUUAGAUACCCUGGUAGUCCACGCCGUAAACGUUGGGCGCUAGGUGUGGGCCACAUUCCACGUGGUCUGUGCCGCAGCUAACGCAUUAAGCGCCCCGCCUGGGGAGUACGGCCGCAAGGCU
rnacentral:rRNA from 1 species